rnacentral:rRNA from 1 species
AUUGAACGCUGGCGGCAGGCCUAACACAUGCAAGUCGAGCGGAUGAAGGGAGCUUGCUCCUGGAUUCAGCGGCGGACGGGUGAGUAAUGUCUAUGAAUCUGCCUGGUCGUGGGGGAUAACGUCCGGCAACGGGCGCUAAUACCGCAUACGUCCUGUGGGAGAAAGUGGGGGAUCUUCGGACCUCACGCUAUCAGAUGUGCCUAGGUCGGAUUAGCUAGUUGGUGGGGUAAAGGCCUACCAAGGCGACGAUCCGUAACUGGUCUGAGAGGAUGAUCAGUCACACUGGAACUGAGACACGGUCCAGACUCCUACGGGAGGCAGCAGUGGGGAAUAUUGGACAAUGGGCGAAAGCCUGAUCCAGCCAUGCCGCGUGUGUGAAGAAGGUCUUCGGAUUGUAAAGCACUUUAAGUUGGGAGGAAGGGCAGUAAGUUAAUACCUUGCUGGUUUGACGUUACCAACAGAAUAAGCACCGGCUAACUUCGUG